rfam:Salinivibrio sp. KP-1 scf7180000001600, whole genome shotgun sequence.
GGGCGAUUAGCUCAGUUGGGAGAGCACCUCCCUUACAAGGAGGGGGUCACUGGUUCGAGCCCGGUAUCGCCCA